CUGGGAGGAAGCGGUGUCACUGCACGUCCCCCUCUUCCCAGGCCUCCUCUUUAAUGCUCUGUAUAUUCACAACAGGCAUGUUAAGCGGAGGCUGCCCAGGAACCUGGGAACUCACUAAGCCUCCCAAGUGCCUGGUGAUCCUGGGCAGGGAGCCCUGGGGUUCUCAUCUGCGCAGGGUUGAACUCCUUCACCCUGCUCACUGCGAAGCCAUUUAUAGAUUCAAAUAGCUAGGAGGGAACCACCCCUCCUAGCUACAUCCAAAGCAAUCAGACGUCCAGGAUUCCAGCUGCUCGGUCCUGCUCAGCCUCUCUGCAUUGAGGCAGGCACUGAGGACCUCGGGAGCAUAGAGGAGCAACAACCAGCCCAGCCUGGAGGCACCAGCAGGGAAGAGCCUUUCCAGACAAGAGGGCUCCCGAGCUGCGUGAAGUGGAGGAGAAACACUUGACCCUGUGAUGCAACGCUAUGAAAAAUGUCAGUAAUGUCAUUUUACUGACAUGUAGAUAGGUUAAGAACUUGGCUGAAAUCGCACAGCUGAUACCUGAACUCAGGCCUUUUGGACCAUGUUCCUAAUCAAAACACCAAAUCUGAAUCCUUGAAACUGCGAGUAAAAGAAGUUGCAGAGGUUCCAGUGGAGAACUUCAAGGCUCUGAGACCUUAGGGCACAGCCAGGACACCUGAGGAAAGAGUUUGGAAAAGAGACAGUGGUCAGAAAAGAACUGACAGGAUUUUCCAGUGUCUAGAAAUGCACUGCUUGAAGAGCAGCAGAAUAUAUUACACUGGAGAAGAGAAGACUGUAAGGGGCUAGAUGCUUCAUCUGCAAGAAGAGUAGACUUGCCCUGAAGGAAUAAUCAGGCCAGUGAGAAAGAGCAUAUGCACAUAGAUUUGAGCUCAGUAAAGAAUAAACCUGAGCAGUCCCACAAGGGAACAGUACUCCCCAGAGGAUAAGCUGCCAAAUAUGGGCAGUGUUCAAGCAGAGGUGCAAGGAACACCUGCCAGGUAAACAAUGGACACCUGCCCUGAGGAGGCCGUGAGAUAGAUCAUCUCCAAAGACACCAUCAACCUCUAUGAAAAGGAAGGAUGGGCUUAUUAUGACCACUAUUCAGAGAGAAGAAACUCUUAAUGUUUUCCUGUGAUAUUAGUAUUGUUUUCUAGUGCAAAUUCCUAUCAUCAUGCUGCUCUUCAACUGGAACCAAAACAAAAAUUUAACAUUAUAUUAUACUACUAAUAAAAUUAAUGAUUAAGGAAAUCUGCCAUCCUAAACAGAACCUUUUAUGACUUAAAAUUUGCCUUCCUGAAUUGGAGCUAUGCUGUAUUGACAACUUCCAUUGGAACCCUGGCACAUACAGUAGGAAGGCAUAAUAACUAAGAUCCCUAUCAAUACCAGCUUUUAGGGGAGAACUCCAUACUUUAUAGUGUCCUUUGAUAAUCCAUGAUGGACUGUUAUUUCUACAUUUGCCUGUUUUCACAUUUAUUUUUUAUGUUUUGAUUCUACAGAUGGAAAGUUCCACAAAAUUAUCAUCCACUGUGUAAAACAGUACUUCAUUUUAUCUCAACUAAAAUUACUUUCUUAAGUAUGAAAUACAUAACAAUCAUAAUUUUGUAGACAUUUCUAAAUAAGACUUUUUUCUCUAUUUGCAGGCUAAAGAUUGCUAUACCCCUUAUAAUAGUCUCAUCAUGCCAUUUUGGUGGUUCCUUCUGAAACUUUCUUGAAUUCCACUAGAUUUUGGAGAUGUAGCAAGCAAAACUAUGAUAUAUCCUAUACAUUUUUUUGUAUGUUAUAUAUAAACUGUAAGAACCUUCUUGACAGCUCCCAAGAUUUACUCAAUCUUUUUAAUUGCAUAGAGCUACAGACAUUAGGAAACCUACAAUGAUUCUAGAUUCCUUUGCAGGCUCCUACAAUCACACCCUAUCAAAGCUAGAAUGACUUUAGGAGAUUGUGGCCAACAUUCUACUUUUCCACAGAGAAGGAAUGUUUGCCCAAGUGGCAGGGCCUGAAAAUAGAAGCCAGAGAGUUUGACCCAGAGCUGAGGACUAUUUCAAUCAUAUCCCUCUGUAUGCUUCACUAAAGAUGGGGCAGAAGCUACUUUUGACUGCUUUUUUUCUAAUGCAUGACCUUUUAUUUGAGUAUGCUAAAAAUUAAUCUGCCAGUUUUUGCUUACUCACAUGGCAUAAUGGGUGCUUUCAAUAAUUUCUCACUACCACCUUGACAUGAGCAAGUUACUUAAUCUCUCUAACCUUUGUUUCUCUCUCUGUAAAGUGGGAAUGAUAAUACGAACCUACCCUUAAAAAGUGUGUUGUAAGAAAUAAAUGAGAUGACUUGUUUAUCAUGAUCAUAUUCCGGGCACAUAGUGUAAACUCUUUAAAUUGUUUCCAUUACUGAUUAUGCAUAAUUAUUGUAAGAUGACCUCAAACAUUCAAAAAAAAAACAAUUCUCUCUAGGAAAGAUUCACUUGGGAAGCUGAAAAGCAUAAGCAUGUUUUAUACAGACUGCUUAUGCGGGCACUGGUUUAGGGUACUAUGCACUGCCAGUUUGAAUUAGAGGGAGUAUCAAUCAAAAGCACAUUAUUUAGAAAGGUGAAAAUAUUCUAAAAAUGUUGUUUGGUGAACCUAAGUUAAAACAGCAUGAACUUAUUCCACUUAAAAACAUCCAUACACCGUGAAAUAGGUAAGUUACGUUUUUAUUUCAAUAAUAGCUUACAAAAAGGGAAAAAGCUAUAGCUCAAGCAAUCAUAUACAAAACCUCUCUAAAAAACUCUGGAGUUACAAGGUAACCAGGUAGCAUUGGUGAAAAUGAAUUCAGGUGUUUGAACUGAAGCUUCCCAAAAUGCACCAGGGGCUAGUUUUGACCUGGUGAUAGCGAAUUUUAAGAAUGUAAAUUGCAUUUACAGAGUUGGCAAGACUGGCCAUAGACUGGCUCUCUCCCUAAAAGGGCCUUGAACACAGGGAGAAUAUCCAGAACGGGACCUUAGAGAAAGCAUCAAAAGUCUGCCAUAUUUCACAUAGAAAUGAGAAGCUUAAGCUGGGGACUAAAAGUAUUUCCUGAUAUCACAUUUGAGCAUAAUCUCUGUAACGAUUGACAAGCAUGGGGAAUGGAGAAGAAAAGGCAAAUAUCAGGGUUUUUUUUAUGCCAUUACAGACAAAUUUUAGUGCAGCGUUGUUUAAAGAUGAAAGAAAAAACUAAAUGGUCUGUCAAAGAAGCAUUAUUUCAUCUGUUUUAACUCUAUAACAAUUUAUGAAUUUUAAUCUCCAUAAAUUCCUUCAGUAAACCACAAUACAGUAGGACAUAUUUUAACCUUGUCUUUCUCCCUCUUAUUACAACACAGUAAUUAAGAUCUGGGUUUCAGAGGCAAGCAGGCCGGGAUUUGAAGUCCACCUCUGCCACUUACUAGGAACCUCAGCAAGCUGCUUGAGCUCUCUGCGCUCCCUCUUUUGUGUAUCUAAAAAUGGAUGUUAACAUCUGUCCACAGAGUUGAUGUAACAGCAAUUGUAAGGAAGGUCCUAAUGCAUUGCCUAGUAUCCAGUGUAUGCUCAAUCCAUCUAGCAUCCUAAUUCAUUUUAGAAUUUAAUUACAUAUUUUAUUGUUUUCAUAAUGUCCAAUUGCUAUGGUGUAUGUUCUUGGUAAAAGUGGCUCUGAUAGUAGUUCUGAAGCAGUUGAGGGGCAACAGACACACUCCCCUGGUGGUAGGGGGCUGGGAAAUGGAGAUAGGGUGCAUAGUUUGAAAAUUAAAAAGCCUCCUAUUUCAGAUUCUCACAGAUUUCUACUGGGGAGAGGGGAGGAGGAGACCCUCCAACCUCAGCCUUCAGCUGAGAAACACCAGCCUUUCUAAUGACAGAGACCUUUUUAUUUCCUUCCCAUGUAUUCCUCACAAGGCCUGGCAUACAGCAGGGUCAAUAAAUCAAUCUGAGUUUAUUUGUUUCUGUUUAGUAAUAAAAUAUGAUUCAGAAUCCAGCAAGUUCAGUUCCUUAAAGAAAACAAUAUUAUGUUUUGUGAUCAAUGCAUAAUUAAAACAAAUUUCCCAUUAAUUCCCCUGACCUUUACAAUUUUAGUCACAUAAACCCAUUAAAGAAGUUUAUUCUCGACUACUGUGUAAUGUAACUUAUUUUCUCUCAGUGAUGAGUAUAAACAAUAAGUACAUUAAAAAAUGAUGAACCUUUAUUAUAGUCUUCAAAGGUCAGAAUCAUACAGAGCUAUGGACAAGAAAUUAGGACAGAAAUAUGCUUUAAAAUGCUUCAGAAGUAAUGGUGAGACUUCUGGUCAACAUGAUUCAGCAAAUUCACACCAUUAUAAAACUCCUCCUAUUCCAAACGUGAUAAUUAAAGAUGAAACAUAAAAAGUAAACAUAAAAAUGUUUAUAGUUUGUU
rnacentral:lncRNA from 1 species